UCGGAGGCGGACAGAUGGGAGCUUGCUCCCUGAUGUUAGCGGCGGACGGGUGAGUAACACGUGGGUAACCUGCCUGUAAGACUGGGAUAACUCCGGGAAACCGGGGCUAAUACCGGAUGGUUGUUUGAACCGCAUGGUUCAAACAUAAAAGGUGGCUUCGGCUACCACUUACAGAUGGACCCGCGGCGCAUUAGCUAGUUGGUGAGGUAACGGCUCACCAAGGCAACGAUGCGUAGCCGACCUGAGAGGGUGAUCGGCCACACUGGGACUGAGACACGGCCCAGACUCCUACGGGAGGCAGCAGUAGGGAAUCUUCCGCAAUGGACGAAAGUCUGACGGAGCAACGCCGCGUGAGUGAUGAAGGUUUUCGGAUCGUAAAGCUCUGUUGUUAGGGAAGAACAAGUACCGUUCGAAUAGGGCGGUACCUUGACGGUACCUAACCAGAAAGCCACGGCUAACUACGUGCCAGCAGCCGCGGUAAUACGUAGGUGGCAAGCGUUGUCCGGAAUUAUUGGGCGUAAAGGGCUCGCAGGCGGUUUCUUAAGUCUGAUGUGAAAGCCCCCGGCUCAACCGGGGAGGGUCAUUGGAAACUGGGGAACUUGAGUGCAGAAGAGGAGAGUGGAAUUCCACGUGUAGCGGUGAAAUGCGUAGAGAUGUGGAGGAACACCAGUGGCGAAGGCGACUCUCUGGUCUGUAACUGACGCUGAGGAGCGAAAGCGUGGGGAGCGAACAGGAUUAGAUACCCUGGUAGUCCACGCCGUAAACGAUGAGUGCUAAGUGUUAGGGGGUUUCCGCCCCUUAGUGCUGCAGCUAACGCAUUAAGCACUCCGCCUGGGGAGUACGGUCGCAAGACUGAAACUCAAAGGAAUUGACGGGGGCCCGCACAAGCGGUGGAACAUGUGGUUUAAUUCGAAGCAACGCGAAGAACCUUACCAGGUCUUGACAUCCUCUGACAAUCCUAGAGAUAGGACGUCCCCUUCGGGGGCAAAAUGACAGGUGGU
rnacentral:rRNA from 1 species